rfam:Dechloromonas aromatica RCB, complete genome.
CAGUGGGUGAAAGCCCCACCCGGCGAAAUGCUCCAGCCGGAAGCAACCGGAGCAGUCAUGGAGGUAACGAAAUGGCUGAAGCCUUCGGAUAGCGGGCCACAAAUUCUGGUGGCAGCGCGAGUGUGCAGGCCGUAACGCGA